rnacentral:rRNA from 1 species
AUUGAACAUAAGAGUUUGAUCCUGGCUCAGAUUGAACGCUGGCGGCAUGCUUUACACAUGCAAGUCGGACGGCAGCACAGGGAAGCUUGCUUCUCGGGUGGCGAGUGGCGAACGGGUGAGUAACAUAUCGGAACGUACCGGGUAGCGGGGGAUAACUGAUCGAAAGAUCAGCUAAUACCGCAUACGUCUUGAGAGGGAAAGCAGGGGACCUUCGGGCCUUGCGCUAUCCGAGCGGCCGAUAUCUGAUUAGCUGGUUGGCGGGGUAAAGGCCCACCAAGGCGACGAUCAGUAGCGGGUCUGAGAGGAUGAUCCGCCACACUGGGACUGAGACACGGCCCAGACUCCUACGGGAGGCAGCAGUGGGGAAUUUUGGACAAUGGGCGCAAGCCUGAUCCAGCCAUGCCGCGUGUCUGAAGAAGGCCUUCGGGUUGUAAAGGACUUUUGUCAGGGAAGAAAAGGCCGUUGCCAAUAUCGGCGGCCGAUGACGGUACCUGAAGAAUAAGCACCGGCUAACUACGUGCCAGCAGCCGCGGUAAUACGUAGGGUGCGAGCGUUAAUCGGAAUUACUGGGCGUAAAGCGGGCGCAGACGGUUACUUAAGCAGGAUGUGAAAUCCCCGGGCUCAACCCGGGAACUGCGUUCUGAACUGGGUGACUCGAGUGUGUCAGAGGGAGGUGGAAUUCCACGUGUAGCAGUGAAAUGCGUAGAGAUGUGGAGGAAUACCGAUGGCGAAGGCAGCCUCCUGGGAUAACACUGACGUUCAUGUCCGAAAGCGUGGGUAGCAAACAGGAUUAGAUACCCUGGUAGUCCACGCCCUAAACGAUGUCAAUUAGCUGUUGGGCAACUUGAUUGCUUGGUAGCGUAGCUAACGCGUGAAAUUGACCGCCUGGGGAGUACGGUCGCAAGAUUAAAACUCAAAGGAAUUGACGGGGACCCGCACAAGCGGUGGAUGAUGUGGAUUAAUUCGAUGCAACGCGAAGAACCUUACCUGGUUUUGACAUGUGCGGAAUCCUCCGGAGACGGAGGAGUGCCUUCGGGAGCCGUAACACAGGUGCUGCAUGGCUGUCGUCAGCUCGUGUCGUGAGAUGUUGGGUUAAGUCCCGCAACGAGCGCAACCCUUGUCAUUAGUUGCCAUCAUUCGGUUGGGCACUCUAAUGAGACUGCCGGUGACAAGCCGGAGGAAGGUGGGGAUGACGUCAAGUCCUCAUGGCCCUUAUGACCAGGGCUUCACACGUCAUACAAUGGUCGGUACAGAGGUUAGCCAAGCCGCGAGGCGGAGCCAAUCUCACAAAACCGAUCGUAGUCCGGAUUGCACUCUGCAACUCGAGUGCAUGAAGUCGGAAUCGCUAGUAAUCGCAGGUCAGCAUACUGCGGUGAAUACGUUCCCGGGUCUUGUACACACCGCCCGUCACACCAUGGGAGUGGGGGAUACCAGAAGUAGGUAGGGUAACCGCAAGGAGCCCGCUUACCACGGUAUGCUUCAUGACUGGGGUGAAGUCGUAACAAGGUAGCCGUAGGGGAACCUGCGGCUGGAUCACCUCCUUUCUAG